GAUGAACGCUAGCUACAGGCUUAACACAUGCAAGUCGAGGGGCAGCAUGGUCUUAGCUUGCUAAGGCCGAUGGCGACCGGCGCACGGGUGAGUAACACGUAUCCAACCUGCCGUCUACUCUUGGACAGCCUUCUGAAAGGAAGAUUAAUACAAGAUGGCAUCAUGAGUCCACAUGUUCACAUGAUUAAAGGUAUUCCGGUAGACGAUGGGGAUGCGUUCCAUUAGAUAGUAGGCGGGGUAACGGCCCACCUAGUCUUCGAUGGAUAGGGGUUCUGAGAGGAAGGUCCCCCACAUUGGAACUGAGACACGGUCCAAACUCCUACGGGAGGCAGCAGUGAGGAAUAUUGGUCAAUGGGCGAGAGCCUGAACCAGCCAAGUAGCGUGAAGGAUGACUGCCCUAUGGGUUGUAAACUUCUUUUAUAAAGGAAUAAAGUCGGGUAUGCAUGCCCGUUUGCAUGUACUUUAUGAAUAAGGAUCGGCUAACUCCGUGCCAGCAGCCGCGGUAAUACGGAGGAUCCGAGCGUUAUCCGGAUUUAUUGGGUUUAAAGGGAGCGUAGAUGGAUGUUUAAGUCAGUUGUGAAAGUUUGCGGCUCAACCGUAAAAUUGCAGUUGAUACUGGAUAUCUUGAGUGCAGUUGAGGCAGGCGGAAUUCGUGGUGUAGCGGUGAAAUGCUUAGAUAUCACGAAGAACUCCGAUUGCGAAGGCAGCCUGCUAAGCUGCAACUGACAUUGAGGCUCGAAAGUGUGGGUAUCAAACAGGAUUAGAUACCCUGGUAGUCCACACGGUAAACGAUGAAUACUCGCUGUUUGCGAUAUACAGCAAGCGGCCAAGCGAAAGCGUUAAGUAUUCCACCUGGGGAGUACGCCGGCAACGGUGAAACUCAAAGGAAUUGACGGGGGCCCGCACAAGCGGAGGAACAUGUGGUUUAAUUCGAUGAUACGCGAGGAACCUUACCCGGGCUUAAAUUGCAGAUGAAUUACGGUGAAAGCCGUAAGCCGCAAGGCAUCUGUGAAGGUGCUGCAUGGUUGUCGUCAGCUCGUGCCGUGAGGUGUCGGCUUAAGUGCCAUAACGAGCGCAACCCUUGUUGUCAGUUACUAACAGGUUCCGCUGAGGACUCUGACAAGACUGCCAUCGUAAGAUGUGAGGAAGGUGGGGAUGACGUCAAAUCAGCACGGCCCUUACGUCCGGGGCUACACACGUGUUACAAUGGGGGGUACAGAGGGCCGCUACCACGCGAGUGGAUGCCAAUCCCCAAAACCUCUCUCAGUUCGGACUGGAGUCUGCAACCCGACUCCACGAAGCUGGAUUCGCUAGUAAUCGCGCAUCAGCCACGGCGCGGUGAAUACGUUCCCGGGCCU
rnacentral:rRNA from 1 species